rnacentral:rRNA from 1 species
UACGUAGGGUGCGAGCGUUGUCCGGAAUUAUUGGGCGUAAAGAGCUCGUAGGCGGUCUGUCGAGUCGAUCGUGAAAACUUGGGGCUUAACCCUGAGCUUGCGGUCGAUACGGGCAUGACUGGAGUUCGGCAGGGGAGACUGGAAUUCCUGGUGUAGCGGUGAAAUGCGCAGAUAUCAGGAGGAACACCGGUGGCGAAGGCGGGUCUCUGGGCCGAUACUGACGCUGAGGAGCGAAAGCGUGGGGAGCGAACAGG